CGACACCACGCACACACCGUUUGGCUGAAAGAGAACCAGGGAGGGAAGAAAGAACAGAGUCCUUUUUUUUUCUGCACUCCAGUUCUGCAGGCUCCUGGGGGGCUCCUGAUUGACAGGCUGCUAAAUGCGAGAGGUUUCCUGUGAUAGAGAAAGAGAUUUUCUUGAAGCAUUCAACUCCUGACCUUUAAAAGCUCAGGGAACAAAAUGAUUUUCAGUCACUUGGGUCUGAGUGAAAGCUACUUCAUCUUAUAAAGAUGCCCAUUCCUCUGACCACCAGGUGGCUAAAGGUGAUGCCUUGAUCAUUCGGCAAUGGUGAUUGGUCUGUGGGUAGACUGGCUCAGCCAAUCAGAAUCUUCCCUGGGACCGUUCUCUUUUAACUGAAGAUCUUGAGCCAGGAGAAUGUGAAGAUUGGUCAGUGUUGAUCCUUUUCCUUGCCUUGUGUGACUCUGUCUGCCGGAGGCCAUGAAUCACUGCAUCAGGUCCCCAGAAAAACUGGAAGCCCCUUGAGGGCAGAGCCUGUGACUUUACAUUCAUUCGUUCCUUUGUCCAUGAAACGAAAAACAUUAUUCUGACCUCCUCCAUGUCAGGUGAGAGCCACUGGACAGAGGUACAAAGCAGGCCUUGUAUUCUGGAAAGGAGACAGAUGGCAAACAGAUAACAGGUGACACAGUGAAGCCAGGGGUAUUCCACAGUUGGAUCAACAGCUGGGCCUGGAUGGGGGCAGAUGUGGCUGAGACAGCCAGUGCCAUUAUUCAGCAAGCACG
rnacentral:lncRNA from 1 species